UAUUGCGACGCUAGAGGUGAAAUUCUUGGACCGUCGCAAGACUAACUACUGCGAAAGCAUUUGCCAAGAAUGUUUUCAUUAAUCAAGAACGAAAGUUAGAGGAUCGAAGGCGAUCAGAUACCGCCCUAGUUCUAACCAUAAACGAUGCUAACUGGCGAUCCGUCGGCGUCAUUCCCACGACUCGGCGGGGAGCCCCCGGGAAACCAAAGUUUUUGAGUUCCGGGGGAAGUAUGGUUGCAAAGCUGAAACUUAAAGGAAUUGACGGAAGGGCACCACCAGGAGUGGAGCCUGCGGCUUAAUUUGACUCAACACGGGGAACCUCACCAGGCCCAGACACCGGAAGGAUUGACAGAUUGAGAGCUCUUUCUCGAUUCGGUGGGUGGUGGUGCAUGGCCGUUCUUAGUUGGUGGAGCGAUCUGUCUGGUUGAUUCCGAUAACGAACGAGACUCUAGCCUGCUAACUAGUCGGCGGAUCGUCUCCCGAGACGGGUUUCCUUCCGCGGGGGCUUAGGGCGAGGGUAGCUCACGGGGGGCUCGUCGUUUCUCUCGUUCUCGGCAACGCGGGGUAGGUCGAAGGUAGAUGACGGAAAAGACGAGGAGGGUGGCGAGAGUCGUUGGCGGUCGGUUGGGGGUGGUGGUGGUAGUGGUGUUGGCUGCGGCGGCGGUGGUGGUCGGUUUUGCCUCUUCUCGUUGGAUGUNGCGGCGNCUGCUUGGCGUUGUGUUUNCNUCGGNGGCACUGGUAGG
rnacentral:rRNA from 1 species